UGCCAGCCGCCGCGGUAAUACGGAGGGUGCAAGCGUUGCUCGGAAUCACUGGGCGUAAAGCGAACGCAGGCGGGUAUUUAAGUCGGGCGUGAAAGCCCGGGGCUCAACCCCGGAACUGCGUCCGAAACUGGGUACCUUGAGUGCGGGAGAGGGAAGCGGAAUUCCUGGUGUAGAGGUGAAAUUCGUAGAUAUCAGGAGGAACACCAGCGGCGAAAGCGGCUUCCUGGCCCGAUACUGACGCUGAGGUGCGAAAGUGUGGGGAGCAAACAGGAUUAGAUA
rnacentral:rRNA from 1 species